UGCACUGGUGAUGAACAAUCUGUUCGGAUGUCUGGUUGCUCCAGGACCAACCUUUUGUCGCUCCAUAGAUUUCUUUCACCUGCCACGCAGAAGGAAACAGAGGACAUGCUCCAUGUGCCUGCUGCCAUGGAUCUCUUUCACUUAACAGCGUCGACAAAGAGGAUGCAGCUCUUCCGCAACUGACCACUGCUCCUGAGGGGCCCCAUGGCUUUGAUGCCUAAUGCAACUUGCGGUGUUUGGUGGUGCAUGGUGGUCGGCGUAUGACUGUUAGCUCCACCGUGCAAAGCGCAGAUCGGAGAAGAAAAACAAAGGAAAGUCCAAACCUGUAACCCUUCGAGGAAAUCCAUUGAAACCUGAGCAUCAACAAGUUAAUUGAUUCUCAUCGGUCACUGUUCACAACUGGAAUGACAGCUUGGUCUAUUCUCUUUGCGAUUGCGUGCUGCUGAGCCCGAUGCAUUGCGAGUGCCUGUUUUGUGCUUUGCCUUACCCUUUGUGGAGGUGGUAGUCAUGAUAAGAGAAGCAAAUUGGAUUAUCGAAACAAAUGCAAACACCAUUCUUUAUGUUUUUGAGUUUCUA